GGGCCCGCACAAGCGGUGGAGCAUGUGGUUUAAUUCGAUGCAACGCGAAGAACCUUACCAAGGCUUGACAUACUACAAAUUUCUUUGAAAGAGGAAAGUGCCUUCGGGAAUGUAGAUACAGGUGGUGCAUGGCUGUCGUCAGCUCGUGUCGUGAGAUGUUGGGUUAAGUCCCGCAACGAGCGCAACCCUUAUUUUUAGUUGCUAAUUUAUUAGGUUUCUAGAAAGACUGCCGGUGACAAACCGGAGGAAGGUGAGGAUGACGUCAAGUCAGCAUGCCCCUUAUGCCUUGGGCUACACACGUGCUACAAUGGUUAAGACAAAGAGUUGCGAGCUCGCGAGAGUCAGCUAAUCUCAUAAACCGUGGCUCAGUUCAGAUCGUAGGCUGCAACUCGCCUACGUGAAGGCGGAAUCGCUAGUAAUCGC
rnacentral:rRNA from 1 species